rnacentral:rRNA from 1 species
AUGAAAAGCUUGGUGCAGUUGUUCAAUGAGUGGGAGAUCCAACUACUAGUGCUUGUUAGCUUCACACUACAGUUUUUUCUCUUCUUUACUGGCGGCCUCCGACGGCGUAUCAAAAACAGUGCUCUCAGAUCAUCAAUUUGGCUAGCUUAUUUGGGAGCGGACUUGGUAGCCGCUUAUGUCCUAGGCCUUAUCUCGCGACAAGAGGUUUCCACUCAUCAUUUGUUUUUUCUCUGGGCGCCCUUCCUCCUCAUACAUCUCGGCGGACAAGACACAAUCACUGCUUUUUCCAUCGAGGACAACACUCUCUGGCGGAGGCAUCUGCUGAAUCUUGCUGUCCAAAUGUCCCUCACCCUCUAUAUCUUUUGGAAAUCAUUCGAUGUCGGCGGCCCUAACAUGCAGCUUCUUGCUCCUAGCAUCCCUUUGUUUGUUACUGGCACUAUCAAGUACGGGGAGAGAAUAUGGGCUAUGUGGUGUGGCAGCCUGAGAAACAUCAGGGACUCAGAUCCAGGCCUCUCUCCUUCGGAUACGAGCAUUGAUACCUCUUCUGACCCCGUUUUCUCUGCCUUGCCUUCAACAAAGGCUAUGUGUUAUUAUUUUACUGGCACUGGGUACCCCAUCGCUAAUUUGAACACGUGGGAUACACUCAUCGAUCCAACCCACAUUCUAAAGGCCAUCUGGAGUCAUAUGCACUUUGCUCCAGAACUCAGUGACCUGCGACAAGACACCGCAACUUCGACUCUAAAGAAGAACAGUGAAGGAGAACUACGCAAGGCUGACGCCGCGGAAGAUCACUGA